UGGAUAAGGUGGAAAAAACUAUAUUGGUCUUUUCAAAGGGAAAAUAUGUUAAGAUUGCAUAUUUUAUGUAUGGUUUUCAUAUCAAUGAAUUCAUAACACUGGGUUAAAAUAUUCCCUGAAACUAUUGUGUACCAUUUGUUUUCUGGAUUGUUUGUAGAGACAAAAAAACGAAGAAGGAAAUACAUGUAGUUCAAGACAGAGCAGCUUUUGAAUCUUUUUAAAUGUGUCAUUCUGUUUUAUGCUCAGCCAGUUCUUUUUCUUCUCCUUAAAAAGAUGACAAGCAAGCAAACUCUUUUCUAGCAAAUAAAAGUGUUAGUUCUUGGAUGCCAUGCAAAGAGUGCAAAUGCAUAAGAAGGCUGACCUCCUGCACUAGGAAACAAGUACUCUAUCUCUGCAAUUUGUGCAGCCCCACUGCCAGCCAAUUAACUCGAAGUUGAGUUUUGACUCAAACUCAUGACCCUUCAAUCCCCACAGUCAUGUGUUACAUCUGGUAUCAUUGAAUUAGUCCUUCCAUUUUGGCUUGCUUUUUUUUUUUUAAACCGUCCACUUUCUUUCUGCCAAUUUUUUUUCUAACCACUAAUGAUGAUUCAAGAAGCUUUCUACAGUAUCUGCAUAUUUGUUUGUUUUUGAGUAGAGCUCCCUUGGAAAAAAUCUGGCAUACAUUUUUUUUCUAAGAAUACCAUUCAAUUCUGCAUUUCAUGAUACCCUUUUUUCCUGUUCCGUACUAUAAUGGUGACCAUUACAUCAUGUACCCUGAGGGCUGUGCUUAAAAAGAGAAAGGAUGGUGAAAUUAGCAAAAAUAAAAGGAACUCCCUGACUUGAAUUCACAAACUGUGCUUGUUUUUGUUAAACAGAACAAAAUCUGCGGUGACGGUAGCAAGUUCAAUAACGUGUAGCGCAUACGUUUUUCUCUCAGCUAGAAAGCACCUUCCUUAAGAAACGCUUUUAAAAUAUUCAAUGUAAACUACUGAAGAUACUCAUAUUAAGUAGUACUCCCCAAGCUCUCUUCCUGUAAUCAAUGGAAGAACUGGCUCCAGAAGGGCAAUUCCCCAGCUAUCUGAGAAAGGAGGUGCCAGCUGCCUUCUGAAGAUGCUCACCGCAGAGGACAGUCAUCCCUUAGGCUGGAAUAUGCAGCCAUCUUCUAGGCUGCUGAAGGUAUCCCUGUCUUUCUCUAUAUUCUGUAAUUAUCUACCAGUAUUUGCUCAACUCCCAACUCAUCUGGAAAAGGACAGCAGUGGAAUAAAUUCUGCAAACUUGUAGUUUCUGGUCCACUGAUUUAGGAGAAGAAAUACCUUUC